GUGCCAGCCGCUGCGGUAAUACGGAGGGUGCAAGCGUUAAUCGGAAUUACUGGGCGUAAAGCGCACGCAGGCGGUCUGUCAAGUCGGAUGUGAAAUCCCCGGGCUCAACCUGGGAACUGCAUUCGAAACUGGCAGGCUGGAGUUCUUGUAGAGGGGGUAGAAUUCCAGGUGUAGCGGUGAAAUGCGUAGAGAUCUGGAGGAAUACCGGUGGCGAAGGCGGCCCCCUGGACAAAGCUGACGCUCAGGUGCGAAAGCGUGGGAGCAAACAGGAUUAGGAUACCCUGGUAGUCCACGCCGUAAACGAUGUCGACGUUGGAGGUUGUGGCCC
rnacentral:rRNA from 1 species